UCCCCCGCUUUACCUCCCUGAGCGGGCGCCUCGCGGUGUAACAACUUACAGGCUUGGCUGCCCCGGACGUGCUCGCAUGGCCGGGGCAUUUUUU
rnacentral:ncRNA from 1 species